CCUUCCUACGAUCGUACGACCGUGCUUGCACGGUCUGAUUAGUGGCGAACGGGUGAGUAACACGUGAGUAACCUGCCCCCCACUCUGGGAUAACCUCGGGAAAUCGGGGCUAAUACCGGAUAUGAGCUCCUGCCGCAUGGUGGGUGCUGGAAAGUUUUUCGGUGGGGGAUGGACUCGCGGCCUAUCAGUUUGUUGGUGAGGUAAUGGCUCACCAAGGCGAUGACGGGUAGCCGGCCUGAGAGGGCGACCGGCCACACUGGGACUGAGACACGGCCCAGACUCCUACGGGAGGCAGCAGUGGGGAAUAUUGCACAAUGGGCGAAAGCCUGAUGCAGCGACGCCGCGUGGGGGAUGACGGCCUUCGGGUUGUAAACCUCUUUCAGUAGGGAAGAAGCGAAAGUGACGGUACCUGCAGAAGAAGCGCCGGCUAACUACGUGCCAGCAGCCGCGGUAAUACGUAGGGCGCAAGCGUUGUCCGGAAUUAUUGGGCGUAAAGAGCUUGUAGGUGGCUUGUCGCGUCUGCCGUGAAAACCCGAGGCUCAACCUCGGGCGUGCGGUGGGUACGGGCAGGCUAGAGUGUGGUAGGGGAGACUGGAACUCCUGGUGUAGCGGUGAAAUGCGCAGAUAUCAGGAAGAACACCGAUGGCGAAGGCAGGUCUCUGGGCCAUUACUGACACUGAGAAGCGAAAGCAUGGGGAGCG
rnacentral:rRNA from 1 species